rnacentral:lncRNA from 1 species
UGGACCCACGGGGGCGGCGCGCGAACCCCAGGGCCUGAGGGGGCCCCGCCUCCCGGCCGGCGGGGCGCUGACGGAGGGGGGGUAGCGCACCCCGACUCCCCUGAUCACAUGGGCUGCGGGGGGGGGGGCCAGGAAGAUCGGGAGAGGGGGAGGUGCGCAGAGCCGCCCGCCGCUCCUCACCCGGGCCGGGAGAAGUCGCCCCCCGCACCCCCCCACGAGUCCGUCCUCUCCAUUCAAGUUCGCCGGGCCUUGCCGCCGGGAUCGGGGAUGGCCCCCAGCUGCCCGCCCAGCUCUGCGUCCUGUUUCCAGCCACCGCGCAGAAAUUUAGGUCAAGGACGUCGGGAGCAAACCCACACCCUGGAGCUCUUCGGGAGGCCCCCGAGACCCCCCCACCCCAGGAUCGGGAUGGAGGGGGGGCUUCAGGAUGGCGGAGAACCCCCAGCACAAACAUCAGCCACAAGUUUUAUUUUGCCUUCGCGCUGCAAGUUCGGCGCUCGCUCCACACCGGCACGUCCUGCGCGGCUCCCCGCCCUUCCCCGCAGAGGAUUUUUUGUAUCCAUGUUGGUGAGUCAAACUGGCUGCAAUUUACCCUUUCAUGGUACCUUCAUUUGGUUCCACAGGCCUCCUAAAGUGAACUGCCAUGAAACUUACUACUAUUCAACCAGAGAACUAAAGGAGAAACAAUGAUUUACAUCUACCUAUGUGCUGUUCCCAUCUCAUUCCCCUAACUGAAGUAACCACUAAUUGAGCCUUGUAUUUAUUUAUUUGUUUAUUUAUUUUUGGUACCAGGGAUUGAACUCAGGUCCUUGAGCUUGCAAGGCAGGCCACAGAACCACUGAGCUAAAUCCCCAGCCUGAGCCUUGUAUUUAUUAUUCUUUUGCUUUGGAAAAUUUUUUAUCACACAUAUCAAUGACUAAAUAAUAUAAUGUCUUGUUUUACUCAUUUUAAAACUGAAAAUUUUAUGAGGGAGAUCAUUUUGCUGAAAACAGAAUUACUAAUCUAAAUUGUUGCAUCUGGU